rnacentral:tRNA from 1 species
GGGGUUGUGGCUCAGUGGUAGAGUACAUGCCAAGCAUGCAUGAGGUACUGGGUUCAAUCCCAGCACCA